GAGAAAAACAAGAGAGGGAAACCCCAAUUCACCAACCAAUACCGGGUUUGCCAACGCUGAAAGUAAUAUUGUUUUCUUCUUAAUCUCCGAACCACACGGCGAGGCUUUGUAAGCAGCAUCCAGCUAAUGACUCUGCUUCUAGACAACAACUCUAGCCGCCCGCUUCUUUCUUUCCCCCCACCCACCCCGUGGCACGGGUGACUUUAAUUGCUUCUUCUUAGGGGCUGUUUUGGGGGUGUGGAGUGUGGUCCUGUGUGCCCAGCACAGCCCGUCGGACGCGGCCCGAGCCCCGUGUCUCCCGCGCGUCUCGCGGGCCCUGCCCACGCCUGAAGACUGAACCAAGAGCCUCACAACUGUUAGGCAGCUCCUGAAAUUGAGUUUAAUGCACAUAUGCUGACUAUAUCCAUCCAAUCAUAAAUAAAAUUAUGUAGCAAAAGUCAAGUAUUUGAGCAGAAGUGAACUAUUUCUUCAGUAAUUUAACAUUCAUAUGUUGCUGACUUACUUUGCUAGGACAGGUUAUCAUACAAGUGACACAGGAAGUGAUUUUAUCUUUGAGUGUCUUCUGAAGCCCUACCCACCUGUAGUUUUAGAGACUACAUCUAUAUUUUUUUCUAUGAUCUUUAUAAAACAGUAUGCCUUGGAUUAUUCUGAAAUAACGAAAUCUUGUAGCAGGGUUAUACACAAUUAUUUUGCCAUGUUAUACCUAUAGUUUUGUUUACUGGAUCUGCUCUUUCUUUGCAUAGUAAAUGUAAGAAAAUAUGAGGCAAAAUACAAGACAGACCAAUUCUUUAGGUACACAGAAGUAAUGUGGAAAAUAAAAGAAAAAACAACAGGCAAGAGUAUGGGGGCAAAAGUCAAAGUCAUCUGUUAAUGAUCAAUGUAGAUGGGGUGAUUUAGUCCAAAGUGUCUCCAGAAUUCUAUGACUUAAAAUAUAAUUUGAGAUUCUAAAUUACCUCUUGAAUAAGUACAUAAAAUAAUAAAAUCCCUUUCUCCCAGCCUAAUGUUUUACUUCAUUAAAAAUAAUAGAUGUAUACAAAAGAAGAGCAGCUUGCUGUCCCUGUGUAAGUCACUCUGACACUUUGUAAGACACCACCUUCAAGCUCUUCCCAGCCAGGAGGAGGACAUGACGGGCCAGCUGACAAGCUUGACGAAGCCCUUGAAUCUGAUCUUCAUUCUUCACUUCGAUGCUGUCUCCCCACUUGGGUACAAUGCCUGUCGUCACAUAGUCUGGCUUCUUUAUGUGCUUGAGGAAAAAGGAUUGAAAACGAAGAUCAGAACCCAGCACACGACAAUGGGAUCAUUUUUUCAGACACAGCCUCCUGCUUCAUGGAGCUCUGCCCUUCCUGCGGGAGCACCGACCUCCGAAGCCAGCACAACAGACCCUCCAGGCUACCCCCUGUUCCUUCCCCUGCCCUUUUGAACUUAACAUUGCCUGGUAGUGCUGCCUCUGGAUGGUCUGUUAACCUCACCAUGCUUUGAGUCAAACUCGACUGAAGUAGACUUCUGGUCAAAACAAACAGUAGUUUUCUUUUCUUACUCCACCCAAGCCCUCUGGAAGCAGAGCACCCUGGAUGAAAACGAGCUCCAAGCUUCCAGUCUGCCAAAUAGUUAAUUAAGUAGCACUCUCGUCUUUGUAACACAAAGAUAAAAUUUAUGCAAAGGAUAGCUCUCAACACCCUCUCCCAAAAGAACAUAUGUGAAAAGGCUGUCAAGUCCACAGAGCCCUUUUACACACACCCUUUUCUUAUACUUGGCAACUUUAAAACUGAGUGCUAGAGGAUGAAACAAAACAACUUUCUUUCCUUUUAUCUCCUCCAAGGACAACAAAAUUACCUAGAAGGGUUCCAUCAUUUAUCAAGAACAAACAAAAAGUGUCCUCCCUCAAACACAAAACAUUCAACCCUGAUCACUCCUUGGGGACCACCCUCCACCACUUAAACCCACUGGCAGUAUUCAGAAGAUAAUACUAUCUUACACACAGAACUUCAUUGCACAGCCCUUAACAAGUUAUUUCCAGCAACUGUACCAUAAGCAUUGUUGAACAGAGCACAGGAAGCAGUUUGGGACAGGAAGCAGAGGGAGACCACAUCAUUCAACAGCAACAUUGCCCAGCUCUAGAAGGGCAGAGGUUGGGGCUCCUGACUUUGUGAAGAGUACUGGGCCAUAUCUUAGGGACUUCUCUAACUCUUCUGUCAGACAGGUUUUUAUGAUACAGGUAACUGAAUGGCCUGGUUCACGACAGCUGAGCUUUGAAGGAUCAUCUCUACUCUAGCAGUCACCCCAAUAAAGUCCACACCUCACCAGGUCUCCCCUAUAUAAACUUAUGUUCUGUCUCCACUCUGCUCUGUGUUCUGUUGAGGUUACAACUAUAGGCAGAAGAGCUGUUGGGUUGUUACUGUAAACUGACUGGAAUGUAUAAAACAAUACAGUCCCCUAUCCAGAGAUUUAUGUUUUGUUUUACUAAGGAAAAAUAAUGUCAAUUGUGGACUAAUACCUACUUCUCACUGUGGUGGCCAGGCCUUAGCCAAGGCAGGAAUGCGUUAGCCUUUCUGUCUUAUCAGCCUUUUCCACAGGAACACCACUCACCUUUAAGAGGUAUAACAUACUUAUGUGGUUCACUGUAAAGAAAAAUGUGUAAAGGGAGAAACCAGGUGAUUCUGUGACAAAUAUAUAUUUCUUUGAGCUAUUUUCCUUCUUCCUAAAUGACCCCCAUACCUCCUUUAUAUUGUAUUUUGAAAAGUGACGAGAUUGUCUUUCCACAAAACUGUAAUCUCUGAAAAAAAAUCAAGAAUGCUCUGAGACUAGACAUUUUACUUAAUUUACUCUAAAGGACGAUUCAAAGACAGCAGCACUAAUAACAUGGGAAGCCUAAGGGCAGGCUUAAAAAAAAAAACAAAACAGUGUGUGAGUUUCAAGAAAU